ACCGACGAUGCGUAGGGGUUCUGAGAGGAAGGCCCCCCACACUGGUACUGAGACACGGACCAGACUCCUACGGGAGGCAGCAG
rnacentral:rRNA from 1 species